rnacentral:tRNA from 1 species
GCCUAGAUAGCUCAGUCGGUAGAGCAAAGGACUGAAAAUCCUUGUGUCGGCGGUUCGAUUCCACCUCUAGGCACCA